rnacentral:rRNA from 1 species
CAGUCGCCACGGUAAUACAGAGGGUGCAAGCGUUAAUCGGAAUUACUGGGCGUAAAGCGCGCGUAGGUGGUUUGUUAAGUUGGAUGUGAAAUCCCCGGGCUCAACCUGGGAACUGCAUUCAAAACCGACUGACUAGAGUAUGGUAGAGGGUGGUGGAAUUUCCUGUGUAGCGGUGAAAUGCGUAGAUAUAGGAAGGAACACCAGUGGCGAAGGCGACCACCUGGACUAAUACUGACACCGAGGCGCGAAAGCGUGGGGAGCGAACAGGAUUAGAUACCCCCGUAGUCCCUGUCUCUUAUAC